UACGUAGGGCGCAAGCGUUGUCCGGAAUUAUUGGGCGUAAAGAGCUCGUAGGCGGCCAGUUGCGUCUGCUGUGAAAUCCCGGGGCUCAACCCCGGGCGUGCAGUGGAUACGGGCUGGCUAGAGGCAGGCAGGGGAGAACGGAAUUCCCGGUGUAGCGGUGAAAUGCGCAGAUAUCGGGAGGAACACCGGUGGCGAAGGCGGUUCUCUGGGCCUAUACUGACGCUGAGGAGCGAAAGCGUGGGGAGCGAACAGG
rnacentral:rRNA from 1 species